GAUGAACGCUAGCUACAGGCUUAACACAUGCAAGUCGAGGGGAAACGAUAUUGGAAGCUUGCUUCCGAUAGGCGUCGACCGGCGCACGGGUGAGUAACGCGUAUCCAACCUGCCCAUCACUUGGGGAUAACCUUGCGAAAGUAAGACUAAUGCCCAAUGACAUUUAUAGAAGGCAUCUGAAAUGAAUUAAAGAUUUAUCGGUGAUGGAUGGGGAUGCGUCUGAUUAGCUUGUUGGCGGGGUAACGGCCCACCAAGGCGACGAUCAGUAGGGGUUCUGAGAGGAAGGUCCCCCACAUUGGAACUGAGACACGGUCCAAACUCCUACGGGAGGCAGCAGUGAGGAAUAUUGGUCAAUGGGCGAGAGCCUGAACCAGCCAAGUAGCGUGCAGGAUGACGGCCCUAUGGGUUGUAAACUGCUUUUAUAAGGGAAUAAAGUGAGCCUCGUGAGGCUUUUUGCAUGUACCUUAUGAAUAAGGACCGGCUAAUUCCGUGCCAGCA
rnacentral:rRNA from 1 species